GAGCUCACAGGUCUGUCAAGCAGUUCAAGCAUUAUGUGAGACCAAAGCCAGAGGCUAUUGAGGGGCAAGACCUAGAGGGUCCCUCUCUUCUGGGCUCUUCAUUUAGCAGAUUUGCUGAGGUUUAACAGCAGCAGCAUGUAAUACAGCAGUAGCUGCUCCCUCCUCCAAAUGAUCAUUUAGCCCAGGCUUACCAAGCCAUUCAUUUCAUGCUUAUUAACCUUUGGAGUAUUGUUUUGUCCAGACUGCCAGACAAAUUAACUUUUAAGAGGGGUCUAUAUGGAUGUCUGCAAACUCCCUCGGACACAAAGCAACUCUUAAGGAAUAUUUAAUGAAAUAUGAAACAGUCAGUUUAUCUAUCUGUAAACUAACACAUCGUUCUGGACAACAACUCACUGGAAGUGCUGUGGGUAAUUCUCAGGGAAAAAAAAAAGUAUCUAAAGAGGCAAAUAGGGAAGAAGAACAAGACAUCCAGGUACAUCUACAGAAGUGCUCUAAAAUCCCCAUGCCAGAUCCCUGCACAGCACACCAAACCCAGGCACUGGACUGCAGCAAACUGCUGGGAGGGGGUGGCAGUUCCAGGGGGCUUGGAUGACACUCAUUUGUCACUGUGGAGAAGCCUGUGGAAAGCAGAUUCCCUAAAAAUUGGCCCAGAGAUUUUCUCUCACCACAUACUUGCAUGCAGGCCAAGUCUCCUUCUUAACAUACUUUGCCUUUUGUUUUGUUUUUCUGACUUGCAACAACAACCCAAAUAAACCUCUGGAAACAAUGAAAGCAUUAAAGGAAAAUGUCAUGCCUAUCAAUAAAUGCCUUUGUAGCUGUGGGAGCGGAGAAGGCAUGAUGUCACUGGGGGGAACAGCUUAGAAAGUUCCAUUGAGAAAAGGGAUCUGCCUUUAACUGAUGCAAAACAUCCCAAAAUAUGCGCUGUGCCACCCAGAUAUCCAGGAGAGCACGGAGCUGUGAUGCAGCACAGGCCAGGAAACUGAUUUAAUUCAGAAGCCACAGAAGAAAUUUGUACUUAUUUACCACGGGGCACAGAGAGGUGAUGAGUGCAGGGUUUAAUUCUGUGAGCAAAGAUAUUGAGGGGAGCAUUCUCCAUACACUGAGACAUGAUAGCAACCCCUCAAGGUGUAUGUGAAAUGCUGAGGCUGGGUGAAGCUCUGCAGCUGAGCUGUUGAGUUCCACUGUAGGACCUUGCAUGAAAUAAAAAAACAAGUUUGCUCCUCUCACCUUGGCUGCCUGAUGGACCUCUGUUUGUUUCAAGUACAUGACAAAGGGAUGAGCCUCUUCUCCUGGUGACAGAGAUGUUUUAAUUUUCUUGCUGACUUUGUCCUGAAGUGGACUGGAAACAGCAGCCUGGUCCCUCAGGCCUGGGCAGUGGCUCAAAAAGCCACCUCUGGUCACCUUCCAGCUUCCACCCUUUAGUGGCUCAACUAUUUUCAGUGCAUCACUUAGCAGCUUUCUGGCUGGUGGCUCUCUAUACUGACAAGUACACUGGAUUGAGAUCAGAUAACAGGAUUUUGAAUGUGAGAAGAGCUAACACCGUGAUGGUUACUUUUGGAUCCAGAUUUACCCUCCUGAAAUUCCUGGGAGGGUGGGAUCUGAAAUCCUGGUUUCUGCAGCUCAGAGGUCCAGAGGUGAGUCAGGGCUCCAGUUCUGGGCUGGGUAAAUGUUGUUCUAAAACACUUAACCACCUCUUCAGCUCACUAAAAACCUGAGACUUCCCCACCUGGGAAUAAGAGUGAAAAAGCAGAGUCCCAAACAGCAAGGUCCUGCAAAGCUUUCUGGUUUUCCUCUCUACAGUCACCCUCUUUUAAGGAACAACUCUGGAGGAAAAUUAGAUCAACGUACAGUGUUACAAUAAACUUCAUAGUGAGAAAGUACUGGCUCCUGGCAGUCUGUGCUGGGAUAUAUAGAAAUUAUGGACUUUUGCCCAAACCCACGAUGUGCUGGGCUUUUGCUGUUGCUGUUGAUGAAAGGCAUGAGCAGGUAUGAAACAAGGUGAGCAGAGAGCCUUCCUGCCUGUGUUUCAGGUCAUCCCUCCUCUCUCAUUUGCAGCAUGGCAAUUGCUGCUGCCAGAGGCAUCCACAGGUCACAAACAGAGGAAGACAGCUCCAACUGGAGCAUCGGGAAGUGCUCAGGGAGUGGUGGUCAUGCUUCUCAUUUCCUUGCACGUACCCCAGGUACCUGUGGCUGUGCUGCACAGGGCUAAGGCAACACAAGAACCCUCUGCUUACUUAACAGAAGAAUGUAAAUGAAUGUCAGUCUCACCUCUAAUGUCACAUGAGAGUCAACACAGGAAGAUUAUAUUCCACCAAAAGCCUUGGCCUGCAGGUCACUGUCCCCCUGCCAUCCUACUCCAGCUAUUCCAGGAAAGUCAACAGACCUCGACCGGUCAUCUCUUCCAGCACACCUUAAUCAAAAAUGGCAGAGAAGAAGAAGAAGAAGACACAUUGCAGAGCAGCACAUGAGGAGUGAGGUAUUGAUGAACAUUCCUGGACCUGCAUUAAGCAAGUGUGAAGAGAGUGUGAGACCCUCCCAUCAGACCUGUACCUUCAGCUUUGUACUGACUGCAGGGCAAUUUCAUAUCAGCCACAAACACCAUGAGAAAACAGGACAAAGCCUUCUCUGCAGUGGGAAAAGAACCUUAAUGGACAGAUCUCUUUCAGCAAGGCUUAGGGAAAAAAAAUGCUUCUAAAAAGGCAGUAAAUAAAUUGAGAUUCAGCCUAAGUGAAUGCAGGCUGGUAUGUUUUGGGGGGAGGGAGGAAGGGGAGGAGUACAAAGGAAAGGCACUUACAGUCAUGAAAAAGGCUGAGAAUCAAUAAACAGACUGAAGAGCGGUGAACAAAAUGCACCAGGCUUGAAAAUGAAAAAAACACAAAACCCCUCCAGCCUUGGGGAAUUAGUGCUGCAUAUACAUCUGCAAUAGCCCAGGAGAAGAAAAAUUAAGGGUUCUUAAACUGUUGAUGGCUGUAGACAAAACCCCACACAUUUUAAAUUAUCUACUUUAAAAAGGACCUGAUAUUUCCCAUAUCCUACUUUAUGGCUCUUUAGGACUGGGAUCAAACCCAGAAGAGUUGGGGUAGCAGUUUGCUGCCACUCGCAGGGGUUAUGCCUGUCUGAUGGGGUAGGAAGGAAUGCUACAAGAAGAGGAGGCUUAGGAAUUUUGUAACCAUGAAUUGUAUACACUGAAGGUUCUCAGCACCAUACCAAGUUUAUAACAAACACCUGUAAUGGAAUAUAUAUUUAUUCUGCUUCUAUUUCUUUCUUCAAAAUGCAUUGCCAUAAACCUGCUAGGCUUCUUAAACCUUGGGAUCCUGUUUGUUUAAGAUGCUCUUUUCCUGCUGGAGAUGUGCUUUUUCAGGCUGAGCACAGAGAGCUCAGGCAGUGAAGCUCUAAACACCUCUCCCAUCAAUUCCUGCUAUCAUGCUGAGGAGAAAAAUAAGAUAAUCUCACCAGACCCUGCUCACGUCAGGAAAAUGCAUAGGCAAGAAGGCAGAGCACAUGGAAAAGCACCUUGUCUCAGCAGAAAUGUCCCCCUCAGUUAGGGCAGGUUUCCUCCCCAGGGACACCAGUUGCACUGCUGGUCCGUGGGGUGAGGUGACAUUUCUGGCACUGACAGCCCAGCUGUGGAUGUGUGAGCAGGUCUGGCCCAGCCCAGCAGGAGUUUUCCCUGUGUCUGACUGCAGUGUUUGGAGCCAGAGCCUUCACACUCUGGGGCAGUGAUCUGGUACUGAGGGAGUGAAGAAUCACAGAACCACAGAAUAUUCUGAGUUGGAAGUGUUAUAGAUGGAUGAUUAGCUCUCAC